AAAUAGAAAAACUCAAGAAGGAUCAGAAUCAAGAGAUGAUUAGUAGAGUCAGCACUCAGGAAACUUACAAGAAGAAAGUCAUCCAAGAAAAGCUUGAUGAUCCCGGUUCAUUCACUUUGUCAUGCUCUCUAGGACCAUUGACAUUCAAUAGGUGCCUUUGUGAUUUGCGAGUAUUUGUUAGCCUUAUGCCUCUCUCUACAGCUAAAAGGCUAAGGAUCAUGGAAUACAAGUUCUACAACUUAGCUUUACUCUUAGCUGAUGGUUCUGUUGCACAUCCUCAUGGUCUAAUCGAAAAUCUGCCUGGCAAGAUUGGAAAUGUUGAGAUACCUACAAAUUUUGUGGUAUUGGGCGUAGAUGAAGAAGGCAAGGAUCCCCUGAUCCUAGGCAGACCAUUCUUAGCUUCAGCUGGAGCAGUCAUAGAUGUCAUAUGUG
rnacentral:sRNA from 1 species